GUGAAUUCAGCGAAUCUCCGGAUCGCGACCUCUCACUUUUCACACUGUGCACCUAGAAUUCUUGGCGAGCCGCUAGGCGAACCCAAGAUUUUUAUUUAAACACGAGUUGAUGUAUGUCAAUAAAAUAUAAAACAAAACA